UGCAAAAUAACAAUAAAAUGCAGUAACAUGUGGUGCAAAAAGCCAAAAGGAUAAGCCAUCACAAAAUACGCAAUCAACUAAAAACGUCCAGACAAGGAAGCUAUCAAAACCAUCCCUGUGAAAGAUCUUUGUCCACUGCUGACACUC
rnacentral:lncRNA from 1 species